CCUAGUCCUAGUGCACUACUAAUCGACCAGGUAUUCCCUACCUAGUGCACUACUAUCGACCAGGUAUUCCCUACCUAGUGCACUACUAUCGACCAGGUAUUCCCUACCUAGUGUGUUUUCAUUACAGACCAAAGGACAGACUAAUCUGACACUGAUCAAGAAAAAGCACAACGUUCAAACCAAAAUGCAGCUCCAAUAACAUGUCAUUAUGAACGUCCAUCAGGAUCAACAGCAACAUCCCAGUAAUAUCUGGUGCAAAUCACUAAACUGGAGAAAUCUGUCAUUUCACACGUACAGGAAAACUCAACUACGCUGUCAGCAGUGCUACACAUCUCCCAUGAGGAGAAAUCUAAUCACAUUGUAUUUGUCACAUGCUUGGUAACAACAGGUGGAGACUAACAGGGAAAUGUUUUCUACAGAUACAAUAAAGGGGGAAAGAUGAGAUCAGUGACGAGGAAUAAACACACA